CUCUGUCCCUUUCCUGUUCCAUUAUUUUUUUCUUUCUUCUUCUCGCUCUUAUGUCGUGUAUGGAUAUGGCUGAUAUUUUAUUUCAGAAAUCUCAGUGCGAAAAUGUCAUCUCCGUCGUCUCAGGAUUCCCCACCGCUUCCUACCCUCCCUCAAAAUUGGAUCCUCCUAGGAUGCGGUUCUGUGACAGAGGACUUCUUGGCAGCUGUGGCCGCUUUUCCCAAUCCAGAUGACAAGAUUAGAAGCACAAGCUUUCAGAUUCAAGGAGGUGGAAACACUGGGAAUGCGUUAACAUGUGCAGCUCAUCUAGGUUUAAAACCAAGGCUAAU